UACGAAGGGUGCAAGCGUUAAUCGGAAUUACUGGGCGUAAAGGGUGCGUAGGCGGUUCGUUAAGUCUGUCGUGAAAUCCCCGGGCUCAACCUGGGAAUGGCGAUGGAUACUGGCGAGCUAGAGUGUGUCAGAGGAUGGUGGAAUUCCCGGUGUAGCGGUGAAAUGCGUAGAGAUCGGGAGGAACAUCAGUGGCGAAGGCGGCCAUCCGGGACAACACUGACGCUGAAGCACGAGAGCGUGGGGAGCAAACAGG
rnacentral:rRNA from 1 species